CCUACGUGGAGCAGCAGUGAGGAAUAUUGGUCAAUGUGCGCGAGCCUGAACCAGCCAAGUAGCGUGAAGGAUGACUGCCCUACGGGUUGUAAACUUCUUUUAUAAAGGAAUAAAGUGAGGCACGUGUGCCUUUUUGUAUGUACUUUAUGAAUAAGGAUCGGCUAACUCCGUGCCAGCAGCCGCGGUAAUACGGAGGAUCCGAGCGUUAUCCGGAUUUAUUGGGUUUAAAGGGAGCGUAGAUGGGUUGUUAAGUCAGUUGUGAAAGUUUGCGGCUCAACCGUAAAAUUGCAAUUGAUACUGGCAGUCUUGAGUACAGUAGAGGUAGGCGGAAUUCGUGGUGUAGCGGUGAAAUGCUUAGAUAUCACGAAGAACUCCGAUUGCGAAGGCAGCCUGCUGGACUGUAACUGACGCUGAUGCUCGAAAGUGUGGGUAUCAAACAGGAUUAGAUACCCUUGUAGUC
rnacentral:rRNA from 1 species